AGAGUUGAUCUGGCUCAGGACGAACGCUGGCGGCGUGCUUCAUACAUGCAAGUCGAACGAGAAAUUCACUUCGGUGAGUGGAAAGUGGCGGACGGGUGAGUAAUGUGUAGAGAAUCUGCCCUGGAGAGGGGGACAACAGAGGGAAACUUCUGCUAAUACCCCAUAUGCGCGUAGUUGAGAUACUAUUCGUGAAAGAUUUAUCGCUUCAGGAUGAGUCUGCAUCUGAUUAGCUAGUUGGGGGUGUAAUGGACCACCAAGGCGACGAUCAGUAGCUGGUUUGAGAGGAUGAUCAGCCACAAUGGGACUGAGACACGGCCCAUACUCCUACGGGAGGCAGCAGUAGGGAAUUUUGCGCAAUGGGCGAAAGCCUGACGCAGCAAACCGCCGCGUGAUCGCAGACGGCCUUCGGGUUGUAAAGAUCUGUCAGUAGGGACGAACAAUGACUGUACCUACAGAGGAAGCACCGGCUAACUCCGUGCCAGCCGCUGC
rnacentral:rRNA from 1 species